rnacentral:rRNA from 1 species
ACUCCGCUUGAUCCUGGCGGACCCAACUGCUAUCGGGGUGAGACUAAGCCAUGCAAGUCUGCGCCUCUAGCUAUGGUGAGGCGCGGCGCACGGCUCAGUAACACGUGGCUAACUUACCCUUGGGACGGGGACACUCCCGGGAAACUGGGAUUAAUCCCCGAUAGGCAAGAUAACCUGGAACGGUUUCUUGCCUAAAGGAAGUUGAAACCAUGCUUUCAGCUUCGCCCAAGGAUAGGGCCGCGUCCGAUCAGGUUGCUGGUGGGGUAACGGCCCACCAGGCCUAUAACCGGUACGGGCCGUGAGAGCGGUAGCCCGGAGAUGGACCCUGAGACAAGGGUCCAGGCCCUACGGGGCGCAGCAGGCGCGAAACCUCCGCAAUGCGCGCAAGCGUGACGGGGUCACCCCGAGUGCCGUCCGCUGAGGAUGGCUUUUCCUCGGUCUAACCAGCCGAGUGAAUAAGGGGGGGGCAAGUCUGGUGUCAGCCGCCGCGGUAAUACCAGCUCCCCGAGUGGUUGGGACGAUUAUUGGGUCUAAAGCAUCCGUAGCCGGCCGAGGAAGUUCUCCGUUAAAUCCAGCGAUUCAAUCGUUGGACUGCGGAGAAUACUCCUCGGCUAGGGGGCGGGGGAGGCCGGCGGUAGUCCCGGGGUAGGGGCGAAAUCCUAUAAUCCCGGGAGGACCACCAGUGGCGAAGGCGGCCGGCCAAAACGCGCCCGACGGUGAGGGACGAAAGCUGGGGGAGCGAACGGGAUUAGAUACCCCGGUAGUCCCAGCUGUAAACGAUGCGGACUAGGUGUCGGAAUGGCUACGAGCCAUCCCGGUGCCGCAGGGAAGCCGUUAAGUCCGCCACCUGGGGAGUACGGCCGCAAGGCUGAAAUACCAAGAAGCUUGAAAAAUUCUCUAUUAACUUAUAAAAAUCGUUUAAAUUCGGUUUUUCUACUAUUUCUUUUAAUAGCCCAGCAAUAUUGUAGCUAAUUUAAAUAUUUUAGUUUCUUAAUGCGGCUUAAUUGGACUCAACCUCUACUUUUCUACUAAUAUAUGAUAACUUGAUUAUCAGAGAUAACGAAUUCCUUAAUAAAACUUAAUUAUGUGAUACUCAAUCUUCUUGGUACAGCAAACUUAAAGGAAUUGGCGGGGGAGCACCACAAGGGGUGAAGCCUGCGGCUUAAUUGGAGUCAACCCCGGGAAUCUUACCAGGGGAGACAGCGGAAUGAAGGCCAGAUUAAAGGUCUUGCCAGACUAGCUGAGAGGAGGCGCAUGGCCGUCGCCAGUUCGUGCCGUGAGGUGUUCUCUUAAGUGAGACAACGAACGAGACCCGUGCCCUUAGUUGCUAACGGUCUCCUUCGGGAGAUCGUGCACACUAAGGGGACUGCCUCCGCUAAGGAGGAGGAAGGAGCGGGCCACGGCAGGUCAGUAUGCCCCGAAUCCCCUGGGCCGCACGCGGGCUGCAAUGGCUGGGACAAUGGGUUCCAACCCCGAAAGGGGGAGGUAAUCCCUAAACCCAGCCUCAGUUGGGAUCGAGGGCUGUAACUCGCCCUCGUGAACAUGGAAUCCCUAGUAACCGCGUGUCAUCAUCGCGCGGUGAAUACGUCCCUGCUCCUUGCACACACCGCCCGUCGCUCCACCCGAGCUUAGUUUAGGCGAGACGUAGCCAUAAGGUUGCGCCGAACCUAAACUAGGUGAGGGGGGAGAAGUCGUAACAAGGUAGCCGUAGGGGAACCUGCGGCUGGAUCACCUCCU